UGUCAUUUGAUUGUGCUGCCUAUAAAAGUCAGUUAGGCUAUGUGCUUGAGCUCAGUUGAAUUUCAACUAUCAAACGUUCGUGUUUAGUCUCCUACGAAGAAGCAACAAACAGAGAUUCUUCUACACCCAUUAACUGCUAUUCUCGUGCACCUCACACCAGCAACCAAAGGAAUUUUUGUUGAGUUCAUUGCCAAUAGACGGCAAGACUCUUGGAUCCCAGCGAUAGCUAACGGCUCAACAAGAUUAAAUACAGAUCAACUGCGAUCACUUUUGAAAAGCGGCAACUUCUUUAAAUUAUCAACGGCAUUAAAGCCGUAUCAGAUUUGUUGUGUGUCUUGUCCGUCAGUUCGCACACAGCGAGCCUACUGUAAGUAGAAACACGUAAAGAUGUCAACAAUGAAGAAAUGCGUGGUUUUUCAUGGAGAAAAUAACAACGACAGUCGCUAUAUAGCGUCGAGAAAAAGAACCAAAGUCAAUAAUGAGUAAAGUAAAAAACAAAAACAAAAAUAGAAAUUAACGGAAAAGUAACCAUAAAAUUAACCCAUAAAAAUAUGUAACCAAUAGUAGGGCCAAUAUGUAGCCAAAGAUAUACGAUGUAAUCAAUAUCAAGUUAAUUUAUCAAUAUCUGUUUAAGCAGUCACAAAUAAACAGCAAUGCAUAGGUAGGCAACUAAUGGUAUUAGAUAUAAGUUAAACCAUCGAUAAUAAUACACAGAUAAUGUGUCGAAUCCAACCAAAUAUUCCCAAACAUAUUGAUUAAUGAUCACGUUAACGAUCGAUUUAAAUAUAACAAUACUGUUCCCCCACCGAGAGUUAAAUAUUGGACAAAGUCUGAUCUAUCCGGGGCAUGUGUUCUGCUUAUUAACCCCAUCCAGCCAACAAAAUUAUCCGUGGUAAAUCUAAAUGGGCGUCCGAAUUGUAUAACGCGUGCGCGACGUGUUUCUCUAACCAACUUGAAGGCCAGGGUCCGGACCUUUGCCGUUACGCGAUCUUCGUGCCGUGCGUCAUGCGGCUGUCGCCCCUCGUGUCGGUUGGGCGGGUGGUGGGUAACAUUGAUGUUACACGUUGGGAUUGCGUUCGUAAAAUAAUU